rnacentral:rRNA from 1 species
GACGAACGCUGGCGGCGUGCUUAAUACAUGCAAGUCAACUUGACUUUAGAUAGCAAUAUCGAAAAGUAGGGUGGCGCACGGGUGCGUAACGCGUAGGUAAUCUGCCCUGAGGUCUGACAUAGCCCGUCGAAAGGCGGGCUAACAUCAGAUGAUAUAUAAUCACGACAUCGUGGAAAUAUCAAAUCUUCGGAGCCUUGGGAUGAGCCUGCGUCUGAUUAGGUAGUUGGCGGAGUAAUAGCCCACCAAGCCUACGAUCAGUAGCUGGUCUGAGAGGAUGAUCAGCCACACUGGAACUGAGACACGGUCCAGACUCCUACGGGAGGCAGCAGUAAGGAAUAUUGCUCAAUGGGGGAAACCCUGAAGCAGCAACGCCGCGUGAAGGAUGAAAUACUUUGUAUGUAAACUCUGUAAGAUAGGGAAAAAUAUUACUCC